GUCGAUUGGUUGGGUUGAGCCACAUGGACCAGGGUUUAAAAGUGAGGAUGAUACUGGUGGUGGGUUUGUGGUUCUCGUUCCUUGUUACAAGAAAGUUAUGGGUGGUUCAGGGAAUCAGAUUCUGAAUGGUUUCUUCUCUACAGCUCCUGAUGGGAAGAAUAUGGAACAGUUACUGUCGUCUAUAAGGAAGCUAUAAGCUGGAUGAUUGGGAAAGAUCAAGACUAGUUCUCUCGUGUUUUUUUUCUCAGUAUCAUAAUUAAGAAUCAAAUAAUCAAAAAAAAAAAAAACAAGAAAAAGAAAGAAAAAAAAGGAGGCAAGGUUGAUAGCUUCUGGAGACUUCUUUUGGUUCUCUGUUUCAAGUGAGUGACAACAAGUCAUCCUCAAGAAUCUACUAAUGGACAAAGAUGAUGGUGAUGGGGACUUGGCAACAUAAAAUGAAUGAAGAAUUGAUAUGCUAUGAAUAUGAUAUAUAUAUGAUUUCGAGUAUUUGGAUAUUUUUUCAUGUUGGGUGUUUGAAGUGAAAGUGUUUUCUGCUUCUUCACUUCUGCGGUCGUGAUUAUUUGGUUCGGACAAAGAAAGAACAAUCUUUUUUUUCUCUUUUGUUCUUUUGUGGUUGGUGAUGUGUAAUAAUAAUAGUGUACAUGUACAUAAGCUUCGGUUUC